GACGGUGUGGCGGUAUGGUAACGCGUCAGGGUUUAAAGUCCUGAGUCAAAGUGAGUUCGAUUCUCACCUAAGUUG
rnacentral:tRNA from 1 species